rnacentral:rRNA from 1 species
AUUGAACGCUAGCGGGAUGCUUUACACAUGCAAGUCGAACGGAGUGGCGGACGGGUGAGUAAUAUAUCGGAACGUGCCCAGUAUCGGGAGAUAACUACUCGAAAGAGUGGCUAAUACAGCAUACUAUUGGAGCGGCCGAUAUCGGAUUAGCUGGUUGGUGGGGGAAAGGCUCCCAUAAGCAACGAUCCGUAGCUGGUUUGAGAGGACGACAAGCAACAAGGGGACUGAGACCCGGCCCAGAGUACGACGGGAGGCAGAAGGGGGGAAUUUUGGACAAUGGGGGAAACCCUGUGCCAGCCAUCCCGCGUGUAAGAUGAAGGCCUUCGGGUUGUAAAGUACUUUUGGCAGAGAAGCGGUAUCUGCAGAAUAAGCACCGGCUAACUACGUGACAGCCGCCGCGGUAAUUC